GCGCACCAGGCGCGAAACCUCCGCAAUGCGGGAAACCGCGACGGGGGGACCCCGAGUGCCGUGGCAACGCCACGGCUUUUCCGGAGUGUAAAAAGCUCCGGGAAUAAGGGCUGGGCAAGGCCGGUGGCAGCCGCCGCGGUAAUACCGGCGGCCCGAGUGGUGGCCGCUAUUAUUGGGCCUAAAAGCGUCCGUAGCCGGGCCCGUAAGUCCCUGGCGAAAAUCCCACGGCUCAACCGUGGGGCUUGCUGGGGAUACUGCGGGUCUUGGGACCGGGAGAGGCGGGGGGUACCCCUGGGGUAGGGGUGGAAAUCCUAUAAAUCCCAGGGGGACCGCCAGUGGCGAAGGCGCCCCGCUGGAACGGGUCCGACGGUGAGGGACGAAGGCCAGGGGAGCAAAACC
rnacentral:rRNA from 1 species